GUCGGUAAAACUCGUGCCAGCCACCGCGGUUAUACGAGUAACCCAUAUUAAUACUUUACGGCGUAAAGGGUGAUUAAAAAUUCUCAAUUCAUUCUAAAGUUAAGACUUUAAUAAAGCUGUUAUACGCACUUAUAAAUAAAAAAAAUCAUCAACGAAAGUGACUUUAACAAAUUUGAUACUUUGACCUCACGACAAUUAAAACCCAAACUGGGAUUAGAUACCCCACUAUG
rnacentral:rRNA from 1 species